UACGUAGGGCGCAAGCGUUGUCCGGAAUUAUUGGGCGUAAAGAGCUCGUAGGCGGCUUGUCACGUCGGGUGUGAAAGCCCGGGGCUUAACCCCGGGUCUGCAUUCGAUACGGGCUAGCUAGAGUGUGGUAGGGGAGAACGGAAUUCCUGGUGUAGCGGUGAAAUGCGCAGAUAUCAGGAGGAACACCGGUGGCGAAGGCGGUUCUCUGGGCAUUACCUGACGCUGAGGAGCGAAAGUGUGGGGAGCGAACAGG
rnacentral:rRNA from 1 species